GACGAACGCCGGCGGCGUGCUUAACACAUGCAAGUCGAACGGAAAGGCCCUGCUUUUGUGGGGUGCUCGAGUGGCGAACGGGUGAGUAACACGUGAGUAACCUGCCCUUGACUUUGGGAUAACUUCAGGAAACUGGGGCUAAUACCGGAUAGGAGCUCCUGCUGCAUGGUGGGGGUUGGAAAGUUUCGGCGGUUGGGGAUGGACUCGCGGCUUAUCAGCUUGUUGGUGGGGUAGUGGCUUACCAAGGCUUUGACGGUUAGCCGGCCUGAGAGGGUGACCGGCCACAUUGGGACUGAGAUACGGCCCAGACUCCUACGGGAGGCAGCAGUGGGGAAUAUUGCACAAUGGGCGGAAGCCUGAUGCAGCAACGCCGCGUGCGGGAUGACGGCCUUCGGGUUGUAAACCGCUUUCGCCUGUGACGAAGCGUGAGUGACGGUAAUGGGUAAAGAAGCACCGGCUAACUACGUG
rnacentral:rRNA from 1 species